rnacentral:rRNA from 1 species
UACGUAGGUGGCAAGCGUUAUCCGGAAUUAUUGGGCGUAAAGAGUGAGCAGGCGGCUGUUUAAGUUUGGAGUCAAAGCGAGGGGCUCAACCCCUUAACGCUCUGAAAACUGGACAGCUAGAGUGCGAGAGAGGUAAGUGGAAUUCCAUGUGUAGCGGUGAAAUGCGUAGAUAUAUGGAGGAACACCAGUGGCGAAGGCGACUUACUAGCUCGAUACUGACGCUCAGUCACGAAAGCGUGGGUAGCAAAUAGGAUUAGAUACCCUAGUAGUCCACGCUGUAAACGAUGAGAACUAAGUAUUGCCGUGAGGCAGUGCUGAAGCUAACGCAUUAAGUUCUCCGCCUGGGGAGUACGGUCGCAAGACUGAA